GCUGUUGUUAUUCUGUUAGAAAUUUGGGGAACCAAAACCUAUCACUAUAAAUAGUAAUGAGUUGGAGGCAGGGAAGGGAGAGGAAAAAGACGAAUUUGGAGGACUGAUUCAUUGGGAACCAGUGGUUUCUCUCUCUAAUCUUGUAACGAUUCUUACCAUUGAAUAACACUAAGAUCAUAAUCACUUUGAUUCUGAGUAUCUGAUUUUUCUGUUUUACAUUUUUUCGUAUCUGUUUUACCAGUUUUAACACUGGUAUCAGAGCACCGAUCGUGGUGCCCUGAGAAAUUGCUUCCACUGCGAUCUGUUGCACGUAUGGUUUCUACAAGAAGGAUGGUGAGAGACGACGAUAGUUGGAAUCAAGAAUGGGAAGAAUUGCGCCAUGAACGAGAAGAAAUGCGCAUGCGAUUCGCAAUGAAUGAGUCACGGAUGAAGAAAACUGAGUAUUUGUUAGCCGCUAUAGCUACCAAAUUGGGGGUUUCGAGUGAAAAUGUUUCAGUUGGAGACAGAAGCGAGAACGGAGAAGAAAACAAUAAUCGUCAACGGCAAAACAAUUGUGAUCGAUGGAGGAAGCUGGAGAUCCCUGUUUUUUCAGGAGAUGACGCAUUUGGGUGGGUCCAAAGGCUGGAGCGAUACUUUGCCCUAAGAGAUGUCACUGACGAAGAAAAGAUGCAAGCCACCAUGGUUGCAUUGGAAGGACGAGCCCUUAGUUGGUAUCAAUGGUGGGAAAGGUGCAAUUUGUCUCCAACAUGGGAAAGCUUCAAAAUUGCUGUGGUAAGACGCUUCCAACCAUCAAUGAUUCAGAAUCCUUAUGAGUUGUUACUUGCCUUGAAAUAGGAGAGGAGUGUUGAUGAGUAUGUUGAGGAAUUUGAAAAAUAUAUAGGGGCUUUGAAGGUUAUUGACCAAGAUUUUGCUAAAGGGAUUUUUCUAAAUGGAUUGAAAGAAGAAAUUAAAGUUGAGGUACGGUUAUUCGAACUUCAAAAUCUCACUGCUGUUAUUCAGAAAUCAUUAAUGAUAGAACAAAAGAAUAUGAUUUUAAAGAAGAAAGGGGAUAGCUACUACUCUAGACCCACUAGUUUUACAAGAAAUAAUUCUAGUAGCAAGGUAGUGGCUAUGGAUUCAAGAAGUGUUGCUGAUAAGAAAUCUGAAAUAGCUGCUAGUGGUAGUGUAGAAAGUAAUUAUGGAUCUGUUAAUAUGAGUGAAAGAUCUAGAAAUAGAGGGGGAGACUUCAAGCAUUUAACCGGGGAAGAAAUGAGGGAAAAAAGAGACAACGGCAAAACAAUUGUGAUCGAUGGAGGAAGCUGGAGAUCCCUGUUUUUUCAGGAGAUGACGCAUUUGGGUGGGUCCAAAGGCUGGAGCGAUACUUUGCCCUAAGAGAUGUCACUGACGAAGAAAAGAUGCAAGCUACCAUGGUUGCAUUGGAAGGACGAGCCCUUAGUUGGUAUCAAUGGUGGGAAAGGUGCAAUUUGUCUCCAACAUGGGAAAGCUUCAAAAUUGCUGUGGUAAGACGCUUCCAACCAUCAAUGAUUCAGAAUCCUUAUGAGUUGUUACUUGCCUUGAAACAGGAGAGGAGUGUUGAUGAGUAUGUUGAGGAAUUUGAAAAAUACAUAGGGGCUUUGAAGGUUAUUGACCAAUAUUUUGCUAAAGGGAUUUUUCUAAAUGGAUUGAAAGAAGAAAUUAAAGUUGAGGUACGGUUAUUCGAACUUCAAAAUCUCACUGCUGUUAUUCAGAAAUCAUUAAUGAUAGAACAAAAGAAUAUGAUUUUAAAGAAGAAAGGGGAUAGCUACUACUCUAGACCCACUAGUUUUACAAGAAAUAAUUCUGGUAGCAAGGUAGUGGCUAUGGAUUCAAGAAGUGUUGCUGAUAAGAAAUCUGAACUAGCUGCUAGUGGUGGUGUAGAAGGUAAUUCUGGAUCUGUUAAUAUGAGUGAAAGAUCUAGAAAUAGAGGAGGAGAGUUCAAGCAUUUAACCGGGGAAGAAAUGAGGGAAAAAGGAGAAAAAGGGCUAUGUUUCAGGUGUGAUGAGCCCUAUUCUAGGGAGCACAGAUGCAAGAACAAGCAAUUUAGGAUGAUUAUAAUGGAGGAGGAAGAUAGUAGUGAGGGAGAAGACAGGGAGGAAUUGGGGGUAAAACAAUAUAGUGCUAUUCAAUUAUCUUUAUGUUCCAUGACAGGCUUAACUUCAUCCAAAUCUUGGAAAAUUACAGGGGAGUUAUAUGGGAAACCUGUGAUCAUUUUAAUAGACUGUGGGGCUUCACACAAUUUCAUAUCACAGGAAAUUGUAUCUCAGUUACAAAUAGUGGUGGAACAAACACCCACUUACACUGUAGAAGUGGGGGAUGGUCACAAGGUAAAAUGUCAGGGACUAUGUAAGAAAUUACGGAUAGUGGUACAGAACGUGGAAGUAGAGCAAGAUUUUUACUUGUUUGGGCUGAAAGGAGUUGAUAUAGUUUUGGGAUUAGAUUGGUUAGCCAGCUUGGGAGAGGUGAAAGCUGAUUUUGGGAAGCUGGAGCUAUCUGUGAAAAAAGGCAAACAGUGGGUCAAGAUUUGUGGAGAUCCAUCCUUGGCAAAGACUCAAUUGCAGUUUGGGGCUUUCAUGCAAGUACUAAAGCAAGAAGGUGAAGGGCUGUUGCUGCAUUGCAUUGAAGAACCAAAUUCCAAAAAAUUGAAUUCUGUACCCCAGGAGAUGUUGGGUGUGUUACAAGAAUUUGAAAGGGUGUUUCAAGAACCUCAAGGGCUACCUCCUAGUAGAAAGCAUGAUCAUGCUAUUCACCUAAAAGAUAAUGCUGAAGUUCCUAAUGUGAGACCAUACAAAUGUCCUCAUUAUAAGAAGUCAGAAAUUGAAAAAUUAGUGGGGGAAAUGUUGCAAGCUGGGGUAAUUCGGCCUAGUAUCAGCCCUUAUUCAAGUCCUGUGAUUUUGGUAAAGAAAAAAGAUGGCGGGUGGAGGUUUUGUGUGGAUUAUAGAGCUUUAAACAACAUCACCAUCCCUAACAAGUUUCCCAUUCCCAUUAUAGAAGAACUACUAGAUGAAUUACACGGAGCCAGUGUGUUCUCUAAGCUGGAUUUAAAGGUUGGUUAUCAUCAAAUCAGGAUGAGGGAGGAGGAUGUGGAAAAACCUGCCUUUAGAACUCAUGAAGGCCAUUAUGAGUUCUUGGUAAUGCAUUCGGUCUUACCAAUGCACCUUCAACAUUUCAAGCAUUGAUGAAUGAGGUAUUGAAACCAUUUUUGAGGAAGUUUGCCCUAGUUUUCUUCGAUGAUAUACUAGUAUACAUCACCGAUAUGUCUUCUCAUAUUUCUCAUUUGAGACAAGUAUUGGGGGUGUUAGCACAUAAUUCACUCAAGGCCAACCAGAAAAAAUGUAGCUUUGGUCAAUUGCGUUUGGAAUACCUGGGACACAUAAUUUCAGGUGAAGGUGUAUCAGCUGAUCAAUCUAAGGUUGCAGCCAUGCAAGAUUGGCCAGUCCCAACUGAUGUUAGAGGGUUAAGAGGUUUUUUGGGUUUAACCGGGUACUACAGGAGGUUUGUGAGAGAUUAUGGCAAGCUAGCAAAACCUCUCACUGAUCUACUAAAGAAAGACAGCUUCAGAUGGACAGAACAGGCUACUUCCGCUUUUCAGAGUCUCAAAUCUGCCAUGGUUGACUUACCUAAGCUAGCAGUACCAGAUUUUAACAAAGUGUUUGUUAUUGAGACAGAUGCAUCCAGCAAGGGAUUGGGGGCUGUACUGAUGCAAGAGGGAAGACCAUUAGCAUUUUGGAGCCAAGGGUUAUCUCCUAAAUCCCAAUUGAAGUCAGUCUAUGAAAGGGAACUAAUGGCUUUAGUCCAAGCUGUACAGAGGUGGCGACAUUAUAUCUUGGGAAGGCAUUUCAUUAUUAAGACUGAUCAAAGAAGUCUUAAAUUCUUGACAGAGCAGAGGUUGUUUACGGAUAAACAAUUCAAAUGGGCUGUCAAAUUGAUUGGUUUGGAUUUCGAAAUUCAAUAUAAGUCGGGAAGUGAAAACACUGCUGCUGAUGCUCUUUCUAGGCAGGGUAUGUAUUCAGCUAUGUCUGUUCUAACCAGUGAGGAAACAAAGAAUUGGAUACAGGAGGUUCAACAAGACUCUAAGUGGCAAAAAGUCAUGCAAGAUCUUGUAAUCUCUCCGACUUCACAUGCUGGUUUUGAGCUGAAAGGAGGGUUGCUGUUUUAUAAAGGGAAAUUGGUCAUUUCCAAAGCUUUUAAUCGAAUUCCUAUGAUUUUAGUUGAGUGCCAUGAUACUCCAAUGGGUGGACAUUCCGGGUUUUUCAGAACUUACAAGUGAAUUGCUAGUUUUCUAUAUUGGGAGGGCAUGCAAAAAGACAUCAAGAAGUAUGUAGAAGAGUGUGAUACGUGCCAAAGGAAUAAAUAUUCCACACUAAGUCCUGGAGGGUUACUGCAACCAUUACCUAUCCCUACUCAAAUUUGGGUAGAUCUUUCUAUGGAUUUCAUUGGGGGUCUUCCUAGAAUCAGGGGUAAGGACACUAUUCUAGUAGUAGUAGACAAGCUAUCUAAGUACGCCCAUUUUGUUGCAUUGGGCCACCCAUUUUCAGCUAAGGAAGUUGCUGCUGUCUUCAUUUCAGAAGUUGUUAAACUUCAUGGUUUCCCUUCAACUAUUGUCUCUGAUAGGGAUCCUAUUUUUUUAAGCCAUUUCUGGAAGGAGUUAUUCAAAGCAGCUGGUACUCAAUUGAAAAUGAGCACCUCUUAUCAUCCUCAGACCGAUGGCCAAACUGAGGUGAUAAAUCGGUGUUUAGAAACCUUUUUGAGAUGUUUUGUGGGACCUAAACCUAAGAAAUGGUUAGAUUGGCUGGCAUGGGCUGAAUUUUGGUAUAACACUACCUUCCAAAGUUCAGCUGGCAUGACUCCAUUUAAAGCAGUGUAUGGGAGAGGUCCGUCCUUGUUGAUAAAGGGCUGUGCUGUCCCAUCUAAGGUGGAAGAGGUCAAUCAGUUGGUUCAGGCCAGAGAUGACAUUUUAAAGGAACUUCAGCAUAAUCUACUUAGGGCUUAGGACCAGAUGCGAGCCCAAGCCAAUAAACACCGGAGAUUUGAAGAGUUUUCAGAGGGUGAUUGGGUUUAUUUGAAGCUGCAGCCAUACAAAUUAAAAUCCUUAGCCUCAAGACCUUAUGCUAAGUUAGCAGCAAGAUUCUAUGGUCCUUAUCAAGUGCUAGCUAGGGUGGGUCCUGUGGCUUACAAGCUAUUGUUGCCUGAUCAUUCUAAAAUUCAUCCAAUCUUCCACGUAUCUCUAUUGAAGAAAGCUUUAAAGCCGCACCAACAGCCCCAACCUCUUCCUCCUAUGUUGAAUGAAGAGUAUGAACUUCAGGUCGAACCAAUCGAUAUUGUCAAAUGGCGUGAAGAUCAGAAUGGCUCAGUGGAAGUUUUAGUUUUGUGGAAGGACCUUCCUGCUUGUGAUAGUACCUGGGAAAGUGCCGCUAGAUUGCAAGAACAGUUUCCAGCUUUUCCCCUUGAGGACAAGGUCAUUCUUUUAGGGGGGGGUAUUGAUAGGAGUAAGAAUAAGUCGAGGUUUGGAAAUGUAUAUGUGAGAAGAAAUAAAAAGAAUGUACAAGUUAGUUAGUUAGUUUGUUAUUAGUUAGUUAGUUUGUUAAUAGGUUAGCUGUUGUUAUUCUGUUAGAAAUUUGGGGAACCAAAACCUAUCACUAUAAAUAAUAAUGAGUUGGAGGCAGGGAAGGGAGAGGAAAAAGAGGAAUUUGGAGGACUGAUUCAUUGGGAACCAGUGGUUUCUCUCUCUAAUCUUGUAACGAUUCUUACCAUUGAAUAACACUAAGAUCAGAAUCACUUUGAUUCUGAGUAUCUGAUUUUUCUGUUUUACAUUUUUUCGUAUCUGUUUUACCAGUUUUAAC
rnacentral:lncRNA from 1 species